CAUAUAAUUAAAAAUUCUGUUCUUAUUUUUUCAGGGCCAGCCGCACGAUUGCUGAGAAGACGAUCUCAAAUGCUUACAAGUGGUUCCACGACAUCACCACUUCGGGGGCUUGGCUCGCCGACGAUGUAAGUGAAAUGAAAAUAUUGUUAUUUAUUAUGUACGUUCGAAAUCAAUUUUUUGAAUGAAAUUCGUAGAUUAACUCCUUUCUUUAUUGGUGUUUCUUUAUGUAGCACAUCGACUUGAGCAUGGAUUUGCUACGGGAUCGUGCUGAAAGACAUCCAAAAUCGUUCAACAUUCCUGGCAGACUCAUAUUGAACACCGAGUUCAUCCGUGCCGUUGACAUUGAGUACCAGUCGUUCCAGGCUAUGGGUAGCGAGUACACGGUGCCGGAAUAUAUGAUGGAAUGGGUCGUAGGGAUGUGGCCGAGUGUCGGUGGGAAGCCAUGGGAUGGCUGUACGCAUAUGUACGUACCAGUAUGUCUGAAUCAUCACUACAUUGCAGUGGAAAUCGUAUUCGCCGACUCCACGAUGUAUGUGUACGACCCCGAUCAUUCAUGCCUGACACAAGGCCAGCUCGAGCAAAAUCUAGAGUCGCUGUCUGUGAUCGUUCCCAUGAUGGCUAGACGAGCGAACAUCAAUGUACAAGACAGAUUGGCCACCGUGCGGAACACGACGACGACGAGGCAACAAAUAUCGUAAGUGUUUGUAAUUUUCUUUCUGUCAUUUACAUCUUAGUUUCUAACUAAUUUUCGAUGUGCUAAUACAACACUGUUUAAUUGCAGGGGUGAUUGCGGCAUAUUCGUCAUCAAGUACAUAGAAUUUUUGAGUGUGGCACAUAAGGUUGAUGCAAUCAACCAGGCAUGGAUACAAAAUUGGAGAAAUAAACUAGCAUGUGAUUUAUUUGAAUUUAAUGGGGAUCCGUAAAUAAUUGUACAUAUUUUUACAUUUAUUUAAAC
rnacentral:lncRNA from 1 species